UACGUAGGGGGCAAGCGUUGUCCGGAUUUAUUGGGCGUAAAGAGCGUGUAGGCGGUUUGGUAGGUCCGCUGUGAAAACUCGAGGCUCAACCUCGAGACGCCGGUGGAAACCAUCAGGCUAGAGUCCGGAAGAGGAGGGUGGAAUUCCUGGUGUAGCGGUGAAAUGCGCAGAUAUCAGGAAGAACACCCAUUGCGAAGGCAGCUCGCUACACUAUUAUUGACACUGAGGCACGAAAGCGUGGGGAUCAAACAGG
rnacentral:rRNA from 1 species